CAGCUGUUGACUUAGUAUGUUUAAAUGAAUGAAAGAAUGAAGGUUGCUGUGGCUCGGGCCUUGAGUCCUGGUCCCCGGGGAGAUGCCAUGGGGAGGCGGUGGGAACACGAGUGCGUGGGGGCGUGGGGGUUUUCAUUUACAGGGACGCACCCCUGAAGGGGCAGUGGCACUCUGCUCUCCUCUCUUUUUACUUCCUGGCUCACUGUGAGGUGAGGGGUUUGGCUUUGCUCUGCUCUGCUGACAGGGUGUGCAGCCUCACCACCGGCCAAACACCAAUGGGGUGGUGAGUAGUGGGACCGGAACCUCCACAACUCCCUCUCCUCCCUAAGGCGAUCCCUUCAGGGGCUGGUCACAGCUGGGGAAAGCUGAUGGACACACAGGCCCGAUUCGCUGCAGGAACCCAGGCUCAGCACUCUCGGUUGGUACUAAGCUCCCCAGCGUGGCGGUCACGGAAGCCUCUCUUCUCCUCACCCUCUACUUUGAAAUAAACAAUGUGCGGUUGUCCAACAACGUGCCACAACUAUUUCCCUUUUAACUGAACAACAAAAAGAUGAGAAAAUCUCAAAUCAUCUGAUUUGGGAGCUGGAGCUCUCUUGCUGUUCCAGGAGGGGCCAGUCCAGCGCUGGAGGCCACCAGGGUGGCAGGGGGAGAGGGACAAGUGGGGACCCCACGGGCGGGCAACUUGGUGGCUCCUCCCUACUGACGGGUCAUCGGCCGUGGAUGACAGGAGUCAAACAAAGCACUCGUGAAAUUGCAGUGCCGCAGAGGGGGUGAGGACCAAGGAACCUCGAUCUGCUCUUCCUCUUACUUGAUUUUUAAAAGCAGAGAAAGAAAGAAAAAAAAGUAGGGGAAGAAAGCCACGCUCUCCCCAGCUCCCGGGCCGCUGACGUCCUUGGUCUUCGCACACCCGCUGCAGCAGCGCGUCAGGAAUGCGACCCACCGCCGCAGCCUGCUGUGAUGCCUGUGAGCCUAGUCGGAUGCGGCAGCUCUCACGAAUUUAACACAAGUGCUGCUGCUGCUGAAGCUGACCUUCCGAGCGUGAUUGGAUCGGAGCCUUGGGCUUCUGUGUCCUUCCUGUGUGUGAACAGUGGAGGAGGCGCCUGUGGAUCGCGCUGGACACACUGGGAACCAGCAGAGAGGAAAUGGAGACAGGGAGAACGGUGACAGUGGAGCAGGCUUCCCCGGAGGUUAAGGAGAGGCCAGAGGACAGAGGGACCAAGGUGGACCUGACUCUGGACAGUCCCUGGGCUCAGAGUUCUCUCUGCCACACAUUGGAGAUGUGUCAUCCACUGUCCUAGCCCACCACGAUGGCCACCCAGGUGCUGUCACUCAGUGUCACAGACACAGGCUCCCCGGAAGUGACCCUCCUGAUCCCCUAGGAGAAUUUAUGUCUUUCCUGGGCCACCAGCCUCCAAAGGAGUCACAGGCUCCCAGGACAGGGAAAGCGCUUAACAGAGCUGUGGACAACUGAGGAAUGAUCCGCCUUGCUCCUGGAAACCUCCCUCGAGUGGCACAGGCUUUGCGGCUCAACUCCUGUGUCUGGGGUCACCUUGAGCAGCAGUUUCUUGCCCCUCCCGUGUCACAGUUUUUAAAGCUGUUACUGCGCUGGGUAUGAUUGCUGAUAUUUUCUUAGAAAAUUACCUUUAUUCUUGCCUGUGUACAUAACGUCUUUCCUUAAUAAGUAGGUGUCAGUUUAUAACUCAGAGUCCAGAGCUCUUUCCAGAGUGACCUCUUCCCAGAGUUGCAGAGGCGAUCAGCGGUAAAGCCUGCAGUCUCCACCACACCCUCCUCACGAGCUGGGCUCUGCACCUUCCCUGACCCUGUCCUUGUUGCACAUAUCUGAAUUCUGGUCUCCACCCAGACCUCUCCCACCCCACGCAAGCAGGUGUGAUUACCCCACAAGCUUGAGAGUUGGGCAGGUGUCUUCAUAACCACUCGGCAAGUGGAGGUACUGUGUAGCUGUGCAAGAGUGACUUUCCAUGUUCACACCUGGUGAGCCAAGCGCGGGGUUGAAGGUCGGUGCUUGAGUUUGCUGGUUGUGUGGUUGUUGUUGUGUGUGUGUGUGUGUCACUGCUCAGGUAUUACAACUGUGGGUGACUGUAGCUUUGUGCCCACUCUCUCUUUGCCCAGUUCCCUCCCUUUUCCAGGUAGAGGACCUCAUACACUCAAGUGAAAUGCCCCAGACAGGAGCAGGCACAGGUCCAGUACCGUGACUUGGGGGGGUCACUUGUCAACUUACUCAUCCUUUUGAAUGCCUUUAUUUUUGCAUAGAAAUAUACUGUACUGUAUUUUAUUUCUUCUAUGGAUUUAACUUUUGAUUUUGAUAUUUUAACCUGUUGUGGACUCAGAUAGACCAAAAACUCCAAAUGAUCGAAGUGCACAUUUUGAACGUUUCCCUUUCAUUCCUGUCCCCUCUCCCCCUGUUCUAAGCAAACUUGACUAACAUUUGAGUUUCCAUGCAGGGGUUUUCUCUGCAUAGAGAAGGAAAUAUGAGCAUUUGUGCGUCUGACUCAUAAACUUCUGCAUGCACAGAAGCAGCUCCAUGCAUGGCUCCAUGACUGUAUUUUCUUUCUCAAUACUAAUCUUGAAGUUGUUUCCAUAUCCACACACGCAGAAGUUUCUCACAUUUUUCUUUUCAUAAUUUUACAACUACAUCAUGUACCACAGUAUGACCAGACUGUAAUUUAACCAGCGCCCUCAUGAUCAAUAAGGGGGCUAUUUCCAAUUUUGUUCUACAACAAACAGGGAUCAGAUGGCUUUGGAUUCACAUCAAGUUGCAGAACUUAUCCGUAAGACAAAUUGAGUAAGUGCCAAUAUUCAAUGCACACACACUUACUUCUAAUUUUAACAGAUACCAUUAGCCGAAUUACUUUGCAUAAGACCGUACUGACUCACACUCCUGCCAGCAGUCAAAGGGGUGCAGGAC
ensembl:lincRNA